AGAAGUACUGAAGACAACUAUAUUUAGUUAUAUUAACAGUAGCAUAUGUACAUUGUGUACUGGAAAAGUGCCAAAAAGAAAGUUUGGUCCCCAAAAGAGUUUGUUCAAAGGUGUCGAGAUUAGACAUGCUUGAAUUUUUUACGCAUGGUUACAUCUACUUGUGAGAAAGUUGAGGCAGUAAACCACCUCUGGAUGGUCGAGGUUGAAAUCUCCGAUUCUUAUUUCAAAUUUGAGCUUCUUUCCAACGAUGUCUUGCAAAGUUUCUUUCAUUGC
rnacentral:lncRNA from 1 species